rnacentral:rRNA from 1 species
AAACAAAGCUUAGUGGCGGACGGGUGAGUAACGCGUGAGCAACCUGCCUUUAAGAGGGGGAUAACAUACCGAAAGGUAUGCUAAUACCGCAUGAAAUAUGAUUGUGGCAUCACAGACAUAUCAAAGAUUUUAUCGCUUAGAGAUGGGCUCGCGUCCGAUUAGAUAGUUGGUGAGGUAAUGGCUCACCAAGUCAGCGAUCGGUAGCCGGACUGAGAGGUUGAACGGCCACAUUGGGACUGAGACACGGCCCAGACUCCUACGGGAGGCAGCAGUGGGGAAUAUUGCGCAAUGGGGGAAACCCUGACGCAGCAACGCCGCGUGAAGGAAGAAGGUCUUCGGAUUGUAAACUUUUGUCUUAUGGGAAGAAUAAAUGACGGUACCAUAGGAGGAAGCCACGGCUAACUACGUGCCAGCAGCCGCGGUAAUACGUAGGUGGCGAGCGUUGUCCGGAAUUACUGGGUGUAAAGGGCGUGUAGGCGGGACUUUAAGUCAGAUGUGAAAUACCCGAGCUUAACUCGGGUCGUGCAUUUGAAACUGAGGUUCUUGAGUGGUGGAGAGGAAAGCGGAAUUCCUAGUGUAGCGGUGAAAUGCGUAGAUAUUANGAGGAACACCAGUGGCGAAGGCGGCUUUCUGGACACUAACUGACGCUGAGGCGCGAAAGCGUGGGGAGCAAACAGGGAUAGAUACCCUGGUAGUCCACGCUGUAAACGAUGAAUACUAGGUGUGGGAAGUAUCGACCCCUUCGUGCCGCAGUUA